AUACGGAGGGUGCAAGCGUUAAUCGGAAUUACUGGGCGUAAAGCGCUCGUAGGCGGCUUGUAAAGUCGGAUGUGAAAGCCCCGGGCUCAACCUGGGAACUGCAUUCGAUACUGGCAGGCUAGAGUAUAGUAGAGGCAAGUGGAAUUCCGGGUGUAGCGGUGAAAUGCGUAGAUAUCCGGAGGAACAUCAGUGGCGAAGGCGACUUGCUGGACUAAUACUGACGCUAAGGAGCGAAAGCGUGGGGAGCAAACGGGAUUAGAAACCCCAGUAGUCC
rnacentral:rRNA from 1 species